rnacentral:rRNA from 1 species
AAAUUGAAGAGUUUGAUCAUGGCUCAGAUUGAACGCUGGCGGCAGGCCUAACACAUGCAAGUCGAACGGUAACAAGAAGCAGCUUGCUGCUUUGCUGACGAGUGGCGGACGGGUGAGUAAUGUCUGGGAAACUGCCUG